GUGCUGAACUGUAGAGAAGUUGUGUUUGAUUGAUUGAUGUAGGGAUCUGAUUCUAUGUGAAAAUGUGGUUACUAGGGGGAUGAUAAUUGUCUGUUGAUUGGGUAUUGAUGACAAAGGAGAAGAGACAGAGGAAGUGUUGCGGUUUAGUGAUUGGUGCAGAUCACUCCCCAGAGGGGGGUCAGGAUUAGGGUGAGGGAGGGAGAUAGGGGUUAAGUUGGGAUGAGAACCAUGGUUAGGGUAAUGGUGAGCAUUAAGGUUAGGCGUGGGGUUUGGGGAGAGCAUUAAGGUUAGGCGUGGGGUUUGGGGAGAGGUUAAGUUGGGAUGAGAACCAUGGUUAGGGUAAUGGUGAGCAUUAAGGUUAGGCGUGGGGUUUGGG
rnacentral:lncRNA from 1 species